UAAUACGUAGGGUGCGAGCGUUAAUCGGAAUUACUGGGCGUAAAGUGUGCGCAGGUGGCCGCGCAAGUCGAGUGUGAAAUCCCCGAGCUUAACUUGGGAAUUGCGCUCGAAACUACGUGGCUCGAGUGUGGCAGAGGAAGGUGGAAUUCCACGUGUAGCGGUGAAAUGCGUAGAGAUGUGGAGGAACACCGAUGGCGAAGGCAGCCUUCUGGGCCAACACUGACGCUCAUGCACGAAAGCGUGGGGAGCAAACAGGAUUAGAUACCCUGGUAGUCCACGCCCUAAACGAUGAUGACUAGUUGUUGGAGGAGUUAAAUCCUUUAGUAACGCAGCUAACGCGUGAAGUCAUCCGCCUGGGGAGUACGGUCGCAAGAUUA
rnacentral:rRNA from 1 species